rnacentral:rRNA from 1 species
AGAUUGAACGCUGGCGGCAGGCCUAACACAUGCAAGUCGAGCGGUAGAGAGGUGCUUGCACCUCUUGAGAGCGGCGGACGGGUGAGUAAUGCCUAGGAAUCUGCCUAGUGGUGGGGGAUAACGUUCGGAAACGGACGCUAAUACCGCAUACGUCCUACGGGAGAAAGCGGGGGACCUUCGGGCCUCGCGCCAUUAGAUGAGCCUAGGUCGGAUUAGCUAGUUGGUGAGGUAAUGGCUCACCAAGGCGACGAUCCGUAACUGGUCUGAGAGGAUGAUCAGUCACACUGGAACUGAGGCACGGCCCAGACUCCUACGGGAGGCAGCAGUGGGGAAUUUUGGACAAUGGGGGAAACCCUGAUCCAGCCAUCCCGCGUGUGCGAUGAAGGCCUCGGUUGUAAGCACUUUGCAGGAAGAAACGGCGUGCCCUAAUACGGACGUCACUGACGGUACCUGCAGAAUAAGCACCGGCUAACUACGUGCCAGCAGCCG